GACGAACGCUGGCGGCGUGCUUAACACAUGCAAGUCGAGCGGAGCGGCGAACGGGUGAGUAACGCGUGAGUAACUGCCCCCCUCUCUGGGAUAACAGUUGGAAACGGCUGCUAAUACCGGAUAGUGGGGGAUGACUCGCGUCCUAUCAGCUUGUUGGUGGUGUAGUGGCCUACCAAGGCGACGACGGGUAGCCGGCCUGAGAGGGCGACCGGCCACAUUGGGCGGAGAUACCGGCGACAAUCAUACGGGAGGCAGCAGUGGGGAAUAUUGCAAAAGGGGGGAAACCCUGAUGCAGCAACGCCGCGGGAGGGAGGACGGACUUCGGGUUGUAAACAGCUUUCAGCAAUGACGCGGUAGUGGCAGAAGAAGCACCGGCUAACUACGUGCCAGCAGCCGCGGUAAUAC
rnacentral:rRNA from 1 species